GUGAUCUAGAUAUGGGCAGGCUGAAGGUGCAGUAACAUGCACUGGAGGGCCGAACCGUUGAGCGUUGAAAAGCUCUCGGAUGACCUGUGUGUAGGGGUGAAAGGCCAAUCAAACUCGGAAAUAGCUCGUACUCCCCGAAAUGUAUUUAGGUACAGCCUUGAGUUAAAGUGAUAUAGAGGUAGAGCUACUGAUAGGACUAGGGGGCUUCACCGCCUACCAAAUCCUGACAAACUCCGAAUGCUAUAUCAUGUUCCUCAGGAGUGAGGGCAUGGGUGCUAAGGUCCUUGUCCGAGAGGGAAAGAACCCAGAUCUACAGCUAAGGUCCCAAAGUAUAUGUUAAGUUGAACUAAGGCGGUCCAGUUGCCGAGACAGCAAGGAGGUUGGCUUGGAAGCAGCCAUUCCUUUAAAGAGUGCGUAAUAGCUCACUAGUCGAGUGCUUCUGCGCCGAAAAUGAACGGGACUAAGUGUUACACCGAAGACGCGGAAAGUAUACUUGUAUACUUUGGUAGGAGAGCGUUCUUAACUCGUUGAAGGUAUACCGAAAGGAGUGCUAGAGGGUUAAGAAGUGAGGAUGCCGGCAUGAGUAGCGAUAAAAGGGGUGAGAUACCCCUUCACCGUAAGCCUAAGGGUUCCCUGGGAAGGUUAAUCCGCCAGGGGUUAGUCGGUCCCUAAUGUGAUGAAGAAGUUCGUAGCAGAUGGGAAACAGGUUCAUAUUCCUGUACCGACAUGUGGAGGUUUUACUGAUGGAGUGACGUAGGAAGAUAAGUCUUGCAAGGCGAUGGUUGUCCUUGUUUAAACGUGCGAGCUGGGGAGAUAGGAAAAUCCGCUCCCUAUCGGCAGAGGCGUGGGCCAGCAUUUGUUUCGGCAAAUGAUGGAGACUGAUUCUAUACUACCGAGAAAAACUUCUAAAGGACAAAGCAUGUCGACCGUACCCAAACCGACACAGGUAGGCGAGGAGAGUAUCCUAAGGUGCUCGAGAUAACUCUUGUUAAGGAACUCGGCAAAAUGGCUCCGUAACUUCGGGAGAAGGAGCGCCCCCUAUGGUGACUGGCUUACGCCAAUGGUAGCCUAGGGGGGCCGCAGUGAAAAGGGGGUAGCGACUGUUUACCAAAAACACAGGUCUCUGCUAAGUCGU
rnacentral:rRNA from 1 species